CAGCCCACCAAGGAGGCAGCAUGUAACUUGCCCAGCUGAGAAAGUGCCACUCCACUAGACAACCCCGAUCAAGAGAGAAUGCUGGAAGCCAUCAAGGCUGAAACGAAGGACAGAUGCUCCUUGGGGCUUCCCACGAGACUGUGUCCCCUGAUACUGUGAUUUUUGUUCUGUGGAUCCUGAUUUUAGACUUCUGGCCUCCAGAACUCCUUGGCGUCGGAGUCACACUCCACCCAUCUUGUUGUUGAAGAACUGACGUGAUGCUCCCUGGUAGAAGUCAGUGAGAUCGGAGCUCCAGGCUCAGCAUUCUGGUACAGCACUGGGAAUUCUACACAUGGUGACAUUGCCUUACAUGAAGCAAGUGCUUCAGUUCCAGACUGUGGGGGUUACAUCUGAGGGCCAUGUCACUGCAGAAUGCCCCCACCCCAGGCCCAGUGAGACAGGCACCUGGGGACACUCCCUGAAGGUAGGACAUUGAGAGAAGUACAAGGAGAAAGAGGCCCCAGGGCAAUGCUGUUCCAUUUCCCUUCCUCCGGGAACCAAAGCUGCUGACAUUACUCUGAGAUCGUCCAUCUAAAGCCCUUGAGAGACUUCACAACCACUUACAGAUGGGAAGGUCUGACUUCCCCUCAACAGCAGGAAUCAAGAUAUAACCAGAGCAAACUGCUACAUGGCUUAAAAAAAAAUCCCUCUCACUUUGCUAAUUCAGAAAUGAUUAUUUAAAAUAACUUUCUGCUUUAAUCCAACAUGAGCAUUUCAGCCAUAAAAGGAAGACAUUUUGGGAACUAAGAAAAUUCAGCACCUUCAUCUCAAAUGUUCUCAAAGCUUAUCUGGGAUUUUAUAGGAAAUAGUAAGGACAUAGGACACUUGAGUCACUGUAUGAGAACUUGCAUGGAAGGUAUGGUAUAAACACCCGCUGAGCACAAAGUACUUCACACAUGAAAACUUACUUGCCUGUAAGAAACUAAAUAAUGGCAACCUCCAUAUGGCUUCCAUUUUGACUAAGUAGGUACUGCUUUUCAUAGGGUAGUGUCUGUGCUAAGUAAAAACUACAUAGAUUAAAAACUCCACCAAUGAUUCCACAUACAUUGAUGCCAAUAAUUAAAAAGUCAGAAGUUGUUCUGAGAGGUCAGCCUAACAUCUGCGAUGCUAAGAGGGCAGAUACUGGUGACAUGUGGCACUUUAUCUGUAGACGAUGCAGCUGACCCUCUGUGGCUUUGAACUACUUUCCAUCAGAAAUGAUGAGAUUCCAGAUUCCUGAAGUUCCUGGGUACAUCUCAGCGACUAAGGGCAGAGUAAUUCUGAGUCCUGGAGAAAAGCUGCAGAGUUGGUAUGUAACCUGGGCAGAGCCUUUACCAACCACAAAGGGCACUCUGCCCUUGCCUUACACAUUCCAUUUCAACUAGAUGCCGAUAUUCCACCUUGGCAGAAGGCUACUGGGACCCACAGUUGUGAGCUAAUUUGCUUAAGGCUGCAUGAUAAGAUGAGCUAGGAUUGGACCCUACCUGGCCGAGUUCUCCAGGUUUCUGCUGGCUGGGAGUUAACAACACACACUAGGGCAACUGUUCCUCUCAGCUUUCAAGGAAGGGCUUGGCUGCUUCUACUCCCGGGUUCUCAACUACACCAUGCUUAAGUGAAAUCAUAAAACUCUCCAAAACAAAUGAAAUCCAUUUUAGUUUAGAAAGCAAGACCAUAAAGAUGCCCCACGGACUCUUUCCCUAGGAGAGGGGAUAGAGACCAAUAGGCCCCGCCCAUGUCUGCCCUCCCACCCUCCAGAGAGGCUGGGGGUGCUGUAGAACUAAGUUUAGCUUUGCUUUCCUUUGCUGGAACUCUCGUGUUCAAAGGUGAAGGUGGAGAGAGACCCACAGGAUGUUCAUCACAGAGGGGCAGCAGGUCCUUAGGACAGAAAGGAAUUAAAAGUACAGAAUGGGUGUUGUGGAAAGGACCUUCUUCCUAUUUUACCAAAAUGGCAGAGUUCAAAUGUUAGAGGGAAAGACGGAAGCCAGGAAUGUCGGUGUUCUAGGACUAGCUGUGUCACAAACGUCACACUGACUGGUGUCACUCUGUCACUCUCUGUUCCCACUGCGCCCUAUGUCACAUUUGGGAUGAACUGGUCCUUAAGAACGCAUCUUGCAGAUAAAAUGGGACUCGGGAAUGUUUUUUUUUAUUUUUAAAUUCAAGUGCAAACAAUCUCACACCUCUCAGUGGGUCAAAGAACAGCAAAAAAAAGGAGGGGUGUUGUUAAAAAUAUCAUCAUUUUAAAAUCUGUUCAGUUAAGAAAUAAUUGAAAGCAGAAGUCAUAAAUGGUUGUGUGAACUGAAGCCGUUAUUCUCUGCAUACCUGCUAGAUAACAGCAACAGCUGGGUGGCCACUAUCUUCCUAAACCAGCUUCAAACAUAAAAACAUCUGCACUAUGAGACACCAACGUUUCUCCCUCUAGGUCUAGCCCUUGUGAGUCCUCCUUCAGGCCAAACUUCCCCGCCAGCUCCCGCCCCUGCCCAAGCCCUGGUGCUGGCCGCCCCUUACACCCAAAAUCUCAAGCUGCACGAUGCACUCCUUUACUAUGAUGGCUUUGUCCUUUAUCCACUCUGCCCAAGGCACAGUAAGUGGGCUCCCUGUCUCUUGUUGUCCUGCAGCUGAGACCAAUCUACUGUUUUUGUAUCCAUGGUUUCCAAGGUGGUACACAGAGGUG